rnacentral:rRNA from 1 species
AUAUAAGAGAGUAGCGUUCGUUCGAUGCAUUUCCGGCGGGUAAGCACCGCGACCGACGCGAAAGCUAACGUAGCCUUCGGAUUGAGGGCGAGCCCGUUCGCGGGACUCGUAACCAGUCCAUCGGUGGAUAUAGAAUUCGUUAGACGGUAGCGUCGAGAGAGAUAUAUUUUAACGGAGAGCCGGUGGAUAUAUAUAUCGCUCGCCUAUCGCGACGGAGGUAUCGCCGACCGAUCGUUCCCUGCUCGCAGGUUGCGGUCCGAGUCCGCGCGGUAUCCGAAGUCGUCGGCGACGUUUCCGGCUUUCCGGCUUCCGCGGUGUCCGAGUCGGUCACCCGUCCGACCCGUCUUGAAACACGGACCAAGGAGUCUAACGUAAGCGCGAGCUAAUGAGUGGAAAACUCAUAAGCGCAAUAAAAGUAAAGGUCGUUUCGGACGGCCGAGGUACGAUCCCGAAUAGAGGAGAAGUAUUCGGGCGCAGUACCGUCCCGUCCCGACCGCGCGUCGGUAGGGCGGAGAUAGAGUGCGUACGUUGGGACCCGAAAGAUGGUGAACUAUGCCUGAGCAGAGCGAAGCCAGAGGAAACUCUGGUGGAGGUUCGUAGCGGUUCUGACGUGCAAAUCGAAU